rnacentral:rRNA from 1 species
CCCCCCUCGCCGUAAGACUAAGGUUUCCUGAUCAACGCUAAUCGGAUCAGGGUAAGUCGGGUCCUAAGGCUCAGCCGAAUGGCGAUGCCGAUGGCAGAACCGGUUAAUAUUCCGGUACUACCUUCAGGAGUGACGCGGUGACGGAGCAGUGACAGUGCCGCCGGCUGACGGAAUAGCCGGUUGAAUGGUGUAGGUGUCGAGGAGGGCAGGCAAAUCCGUCCUCCGAGCCGAACCUGAUAGUAUGGGGCGUCCUUUGGACAACCCAAUAGCGCAUGUAAUCAUACUCCCCAGAAAAUCCGCUAAACAUAAUCCUGUAGGUACCCGUACCGCAAACGGACACACGUAGUCGGGUUGAAUAUACUAAGGCGCUUGAGUGAUUCACGGUUAAGGAACUAGGCAAACUGACCCUGUAACUUCGGGAUAAAGGGUCCUCCGUAAAACGGAGGCGCAGAGAAUCGGUCCAGGCAACUGUUUAACAAAAACACAGGGCUGUGCUAAAUUGAAAGAUGAAGUAUACAGCCUGACACCUGCCCGGUGCCGGAAGGUUAAGAGGAGACGUCAUCGAUAAGAGAAGCGUUGAAUUGAAGCCCCGGUAAACGGCGGCCGUAACUAUAACGGUCCUAAGGUAGCGAAAUUCCUUGUCGGGUAAGUUCCGACCUGCACGAAUGGUGUAAUGAUCUGGACGCUGUCUCAACCGUGAGCUCAGUGAAAUUGUAGUAUCGGUGAAGAUGCCGAUUACCCGCGAUGGGACGAAAAGACCCCGUGAACCUUUACUAUAGCUUAACAUUGAAUUUGGGUAAUUGAUGUGUAGGAUAGGCCGGAGGCAUUGAAGUCGGGACGCCAGUCCCGGUGGAGCCGCCGUUGAAAUACGGCCCUUUGGUUAUUUGAGUUCUAACCCGUUGAUUUUCGGGGACAUUGUUUGGUGGGUAGUUUGACUGGGGUGGUCGCCUCCAAAAGCGUAACGGAGGCUUCUAAAGGUGCCCUCACGGCGAUUGGUAACCGCCGGCAGAGUGUAAUGGCAUAAGGGCGCUUGACUGGGAGAC